rnacentral:rRNA from 1 species
AUGAAGAGUUUGAUCCUGGCUCAGGAUGAACGCUAGCGGCAGGCUUAACACAUGCAAGUCGAGGGGUAACAGGUUGUGCUUGCACAAUGCUGACGACCGGCGCACGGGUGCGUAACGCGUAUAGAACCUACCUUUUACUGAGGGAUAGCCUUUAGAAAUGAAGAUUAAUACCUCAUAGUAUUUUGUUUUGGCAUCGAAACUUAAUUAAAGAUUUAUUGGUAAAAGAUGGCUAUGCGUCUUAUUAGCUAGAUGGUAAGGUAACGGCUUACCAUGGCAACGAUAAGUAGGGGCCCUGAGAGGGGGAUCCCCCACACUGGUACUGAGACACGGACCAGACUCCUACGGGAGGCAGCAG